rnacentral:rRNA from 1 species
UACGAAGGGUGCAAACGUUGCUCGGAAUUAUUGGGCGUAAAGAGCUCGUAGGUGGCUGUUCAAGUCGGGUGUGAAAUCCCAAGGCUCAACCUUGGGUCUGCAUUCGAUACUGGGUGGCUUGAGUCUGGUAGGGGGACCUGGAAUUCCUGGUGUAGCGGUGGAAUGCGCAGAUAUCAGGAGGAACACCGGUGGCGAAGGCGGGUUGCUAGGCUGAUACUGACGCUGAGUGCGCGAAAGCUAGGGUAGCAAACGGG